GUUUGGAAACUCCGCUAAAGUCUUUGUUCUAUCUUUUUGUUCGCGUUUAUGCAGUUUUGUGCACAGUGCACAGUCAAUGAACACAUUGUAUUUCAGUAUAAUGAACGAAUCAUCCAACAGCGACGUUUCAGUUCAGUCAUUCAACCAUGUUAUUUAAAUAUUAAUAAACCUAAAACAAAGGAUGUGCACGGUGUAAGGUACGGCUCAACAUAAAAUCCCAGCUCAUUAUAACCACUUUGAAGUUUACUGAAUUUCCAGACCAUGUUUCGAAAGACUAUGCUCUAAUCGACCUUCUGUGUAUCUUUGUUCAGUGCCAGGAAGUGACUGCUUCUGUUUACUGUACUUGCCGAGUGACAAAUCAUGACGAAUAACACUUACACAGAAAACAAUGGAGAUGACCAUGAUUUCUGUAUAGUAUUCUGAGUUAUGAGGUUUCAUGGUUUUGAUGGCAUGCAACAUGUACGCACUACGUACCUAUUUUUUAGAAUAUUGCGAUGGUAACCGCGAAGGCCAGUGUGAACGCCUGAGCAGGCGUCUUGUUACAUUUGUUUGGCUCUGAGAGUGAGACUGCCCUUUGGUGGCACAGAAAUAUUAUCUUAGAUGCUUCCCUUGACAGGUAAAAUCGCCUGGCAUUAAACAGAGUAAAUACUAAAGUAGGGCAUACGUUAUACAGUUUUUCGUCAACCAACUGAACCAAGUGUGGACCGAUAUCACGUAUUAAUUCGGCAACUUUUUCUACUAAUAUCACUGUUUGAAAUGUAGAAGAUCCCUCACCGAAUUCUGCAACAUGUUUCAUACUGCGUCGCGGUGUCUUGUCAGGCCACCUUUGGAUUUGCAAACUUUCUCACAGAAACUGCAAAUCUGCAAGGAAACUGUUUCUUUCCUUCAAUCUAGAGACGAUGUAUUGAAAGGGAAAAUAUUCAUUAGGUAAAUAUCUAUGUUUACAGUAAUAUAUGUAUAAAAAUCAUCGUCUAAAUUUUAUAUUUCAUACCUCUUCAAGCGCUUGUUGAACUUCAAUCUGAACUUCAUCCACGUCCAUCUCGAGAAGCGCAGUUGUUUACUCUAAAUCGUCCUCAAAGGUGAAUAAGAGCUUUCUAAACGCUCAGUAUCAAUUUCCUCAUCUAUUUCCAUGAUUCCAAACCUUAAACGUGCGUUUUCAACGACCAUUUCGAACGGCUUUAGCAGUAUGACUUCGCUUCACUUGAAAUUGAUACUAUACACAGCGUCAGCAAUUUGGGUUAUCACACAUAAAAACGUCUCAAAAGUUGCCACUUACGAUGGAGAUUUGCGAUAAAACGUAUUCCACCCAAACCUCGUAUAACGAGCGAAAAUUAAAGAUUUCUAAGUUGUCAAUAGGGAAUUGUAUUAUAGAAUCACGCCAUGAUGCACUAUAACUGUCACGUGAUGCCCUCUAUC